GGAAUAAGACACAAAUAGCCGAGUGUAGUUAUAAGGACUGAAAGAGGAUUAGAUAAAAUCUCACACACUGAGGCAACCAAGAUUUGGCCCCUUAAGUUGUAAAUAAGGAUUAUUACAGUUUUAUCCAGGCCUCAGAAAGAGGAAUAAAAACUCCCUGCCUCUCAGAUUCUGACCUGUGGGCAGUGAUAAAAAGUAAUCGUGAAGCAUAAAUGCACUCAGAACAUUCCCCAAAAUGACAGUUAGA
rnacentral:lncRNA from 1 species